UAUAUAUCCUGUGCGUUUAUAUGUUGAAUAUCAUAUGUAGAAUAUCAUAUGCUGGAAUAGCCAAGUAAGAGAACCAACAAGAAGAAUGAAGGUUCCUGUUUGUUUAGUCGUCUCUCUGUUGUUUGUGCUCGUGGGAGUUAACAUGGCACAUGAAGAAAUGUUUGAAGACAAUGGCCUUAUUCAUAAGCUCAUAAAAAGACAAACAUGUCGUGGAAAACCAUGCACUCGUGACAGCCAGUGCUGUAAAUAUCAUAAAUGUUUUGGCGUAGGGUUCAAGAUAUGCAGGCGCGCCUAAAUUGGCUAGUGAGUUCAGCUAUCCAUUAUUUACAGGUCUUAGUGAACAUAACAGGACCUACGAACUAUUACUUAUUUUAAUGUAAUUGACUAGUAAAAAAUGAAUGUAGAAUAAAAUGAAAUGAAAUUC